rnacentral:rRNA from 1 species
UACGGAGGGUGCAAGCGGUAUCCGGAUUCACUGGGUUUAAAGGGUGUGUAGGCGGGGAUUUAAGUCAGGGGGGAAAUCUCCAGGCUCAACCUGGAAACUGCCAUUGAUACUAUUUAUCUUGAAUUCUGUUGAGGUGGGCGGAAUACAUCAUGUAGCGGUGAAAUGCUUAGAUAUGAUGUAGAACACCGAUUGCGAAGGCAGCUCACUAAACAGACAUCGACGCUGAGGCACGAAAGCGUGGGGAUCAAACAGG